GAGCUUCGCCGGAGGAACCUCCUCCCUCCUCCGGUGAUCGGCGCGACGCGGACCUCCUCCCCCGCUUAGCGCCAUUUCCUGAGCGCCCGUCGGACCUCCUCCCCCGACGGGCGCUUUUU
rnacentral:sRNA from 1 species